AUACGUAGGUGGCAAGCGUUGUCCGGAAUUAUUGGGCGUAAAGCGCAUGUAGGCGGUAAUUUAAGUCUGUCGUGAAACUGCGGGGCUCAGCCCCGUAUGGCGAUGGAAACUGGGUUACUUGAGUGCAGGAGAGGAAAGGGGAACUCCCAGUGUAGCGGUGAAAUGCGUAGAUAUUGGGAAGAACACCGGUGGCGAAGGCGCCUUUCUGGACGGUGUCUGACGCUGAGAUGCGAAAGCCAGGGUAGCGAACGGGAUUAGAUACUCCGGUAGUCCUGGCCGUAAACGAUGGGUACUAGGUGUGGGAGGUAUCGACCCCUUCCGUGCCGGAGUUAACGCAAUAAGUACCCCGCCUGGGGAGUACGGCCGCAAGGCUUAAACUCAAAUGAAUUGACGGGG
rnacentral:rRNA from 1 species